rnacentral:rRNA from 1 species
GACGAACGCUGGCGGCGUGCUUAACACAUGCAAGUCGAACGGAAAGGCCCUUCGGGGUACUCGAGUGGCGAACGGGUGAGUAACACGUGGGUGAUCUGCCCUGCACUUUGGGAUAAGCCUGGGAAACUGGGUCUAAUACCGAAUAGGACCACGCGCUUCAUGGUGUGUGGUGGAAAGCUUUUGCGGUGUGGGAUGGGCCCGCGGCCUAUCAGCUUGUUGGUGGGGUAAUGGCCUACCAAGGCGACGACGGGUAGCCGGCCUGAGAGGGUGACCGGCCACACUGGGACUGAGAUUCGGCCCAGACUCCUACGGGAGGCAGCAGUGGGGAAUAUUGCACAAUGGGCGCAAGCCUGAUGCAGCGACGCCGCGUGAGGGAUGACGGCCUUCGGGUUGUAAACCUCUUUCAAUAGGGACGAAGCGCAAGUGACGGUACCUAGAGAAGAAGCACCGGCCAACUACGUG